rnacentral:misc_RNA from 1 species
GAUGAAGAACGUAGCGAAAUGCGAUAAGUAAUGUGAAUUGCAGAAUUCAGUGAAUCAUCGAAUCUUUGAACGCACAUUGCGCCCCUUGGUAUUCCGAGGGGCAUGCCUGUUCGAGCGUCAUUAUAACCCCUCAAGCUCAGCUUGGUGUUGGGGCCUGCCGCACGGGCAGCCCUUAAAAUCAGUGGCGGUGCCAUCUGGCUCUAAGCGUAGUAAUUCUUCUCGCUAUAGAGUCCCGGUGGAUGCUUGCAAUUAACCCCCAAUUUUCUAUGGUUGACCUCGGAUCAGGUAGGGAUACCCGCUGAACUUAAGCAUAUCAAUAAGCGGAGGA